UACGUAGGGGCAAGCGUUGUCCGGAAUUAUUGGGCGUAAAGAGCGCGUAGGCGGUCCGAUAAGUCGGCUGUGAAAGUCAAGGCUCAACCCUUGGAAGCCGGCCGAUACUGUCGGACUAGAGUCCGGAAGAGGCGAGUGGAAUCCCGUGUGAGCGGUGAAAUGCGCAGAUAUCGGGAGGAACACCAAUUGCGAAGGCAGCUCGCUGGGACGGUACUGACGCUGAGGCGCGAAAGCGUGGGGAGCAAACAGG
rnacentral:rRNA from 1 species